AGGGGGUCGAGAUGCGGGAAGGGAUUGGUGACGUAAGCGGCGUCAAGCGGAGGCCGACCACUCAGCAUCAACAGGAGGAAGCAGAGUUAUAUAUCUUUAUCGCCUAACAUCAUGGACAUGGCCGAGGGAUCUGACUACUCUAGUGUCAAGAGGGAGAGGUCGCGCUCUCCGAUUGACGAGGACAGCCGGGACAGGGAGGGUGGCAACGACCACGAUGGGGACCGGGACCGUGGCCGCCGAAUGGACCGUGGCCGCCGCAUGGACCGCUCAAGGGGUGGUGGGAGACGAGGCUCGGAAGACACGCGGAUCUACGUCUCCAAUAUUCCCUAUGAGUACAAGUGGCAGGAUUUGAAGGACUUGUUCAGGAAGGAGGUGGGAGAGGUGGCAUACGUAGAAAUGUUCAAUGACGAGAACAACAGACCGCGAGGGUGUGCUGUGAUUGAGUUUGAGAGCAUGGAUCUGGUGGCCAAGGCUGUCAAGACCAUGCACAGGUUUGAACUCAAGGGCCGCAAGCUGGUGGUGAAGGAGAAAGCAGAUGAUCUCCCACUUGCCUACUUGUCACAGAUCCGCAUGGGGAAUAGAAUGGGUGGGCCAUCUCGCCAGGACUUCGACUCAGACAGAGACCGCCGCAUGAUGAAGUCCGACAUGCGCAGCAGAGACUUUGCCCGGGGCGCUGAUAUUGGGGGACCUCCCAGCAUGUCUGUCAACAAGUUUGGCAACACAUAUGGCCUGUCCACAGUGUUCCUGGAGUCACUCGGCAUCACUGGACCUCUAGUCAACAAGGUGUUCGUAGCUAAUUUGGAUUACAAGGUGGAUGACAAGAUGCUGAAGGAUGUAUUCAAGAUUGCCGGCAAGGUUGUCACUGUGGAGAUCAGCAAAGACCAGGAUGGGAAGAGUCGAGGCUUUGGAGUUGUUGAGUUUGAACACCCAGUGGAGGCAGUUCAGGCCAUCUCCAUGUUCCACAACCAGACAUACUAUGACCGUAAAAUCAGUGUGAGGAUGGACCGCGUCACAGAGAAGCAAGAGUCAACGGCCACCAAGCUGCCACCGGGCCUCAAGAGUCUCGGCAUGGGUCUUGGGGUCAAUGGCACUGCUCUCACAGAUGUUGCGAGUCUGCCCAAUGCUGUUGCCACAGGGGUGUCUGCCUCACUGCCAGGCAUGGGAUCCAUGACCUCAAACAUGGGUACAAUGGGCAAUCAAAACAUGGGUAUGAUGGGUAUGGGAGGCACAACUGGCAUGGGGACAGGGAUGGCCAACCUUGGCACCGGCAUGGGGAACUUGGGUAACAUGGGCACUGGUCUCAGCAGUCUGGGGAACAUGGGCACUGGCAUGGGCAACAUGGGCGCCGGGAUGAACACCAUGGGCAACGGGAUGGGAUCCUCCAUCAUGGGGGGCAUGGGCACCUCCAGCAGCAUGGUGUCCAACCUGACCGGUGUGGGUGCUGGGCUGGCCGGAGGCGGCGGCCUGGUGGGCUCCAGCCUGUCCCGGGGCAGCCUGGGCAGCAGCGGCGGCGGUGGCGGCGGCGGCGGCUACAGCUCCUAUGGGUCAUCAAGCCUCUCCAGGGAGUACAACCACGCCAGCGGCACAAACAACAGCUCCAGCUCCUACUCCGGUUACAGGAACAUCAUCCAGCUGAGCCAUCUCCCCCUGGACUACACGUGGCAGUCCUUGCGUGACCUGUGCCGAGAGUUUGGGGAGAUCAGGUUUGCUGAAAUUCGCUCCAAAGGAACUGGAACAGUUCGGUUCCAGACUGAAUCUGAUGCCAGAAGAGCAGUCGAAAUGUUGGAUCGCCAGCGUCUGGAUGGAAGAAUUCUGGAUGUGGUCCUGUUGUAGGGCGGGUGACAAAGACCACGUCAACAAGGUGAAAUGGAGAGGGCCCUCCCGUGCACCAGGCUGGCCUGGCCUCACCCACAAGACUUCAAAAUCAAGGUGAGAGGGAGAAGACAGCAGGUGAGUCAGGCUGGAGCAAUGGCCUGGAAAGUGGAGGAGUGUGGAGUUUGCUGUUCUUCUGCUGGAGGGAUGGAGGAGGACCUGUGAGAUAGUCUUAUUUUGCCAGUCCGCCAAGCCUCUGUCCAUCAGGACAGGAUGCUUGAGAAGCGUCAACAGGUAGGUGCUGUGGUGGACACUCAGUAGGUAGUGCCUCGUGUUGACUAGGGUUUGUGUAAGGUUGAGAUUCAGAAUUACUGUUUGGGAUUCAAAGUUUAGAGAGUGAGUGUUGUGUAGUGGAGUGGAGGGGGGACAGAAUGAUGAAUCUUUUAAAGUUGAUUUGUGUGAUGAAGGACAAUAGCCAAUCUAAUCUAAAAGCUUUCCUAUCCCAUAAAUGCUAUCAUGAAUGAACAAACAAAAGGAGAAAUUGUGGAAUGAAAUAGGUUAAAACAAAUAAAAGUUAAAGUAAUGAAUUAUCAUUCAUUACUUUAACUUUUUCUCCUUUUGUUUGUUCAUUCAUGAUGGCAUUUAUGGGAUGGGAAAGCUUUUAAUUUUGCAACAUCGAGUACUUUUAUUUUUUAGUCAGUGUGGAGGUGCAGCACCUUCAAGUUUUAAAUUCACCCUCAGCUUCAUUUUUUUUUUAUUGUAGUCUGUGAUGAACUGUGAGAAACAUUUUGCUUCCUUUGUUCACAUGGACUUGUUACACUGGAUGGGAGAUGUUCCAAGCUGCUGAGUGGCCGUUCUUCAGUUUAUCUAAAUGUCCAGGUUGUUGGUGUAGUCUUCCUACCACAGUGCAAGUGCAGGAAGCAGAAUGUUUGUCACAGUGUGUAGCAGUGACUUCAGUUUGUGUGGAGUAAGAACUAUUAUGAGUUAGGAUAGGGUGGUAUUGCUUGAAGGUAAGGUGAUAACUGCCAAUGGGAUCAGCAUGGGAGUAGCAGUACUGGAGUGUCAGGAAGGGAAGAGGUGGGUGGUGGUAGUAAUACUUAAUGGUUUCAGUAAGGGAAGAGUAGAGCAGUACUUGCCGUCUGUAAGGGAGGAGGUUGUGGUGGUGGUGUAAUGGGAUUCAUAUGAGUAACCUUUGUUAAUAGAGAAUGAAUGUACUGCUUCAUUGUGUUUACAGUCUCAGAAUGGUGUGAAGGUGUGAAAUAAAUAAUGAAACGAA